rnacentral:rRNA from 1 species
ACGAACGCUGGCGGCGUGCCUAAUACAUGCCAGUCGAGCGAGCGGAACCAACAGAUUUACUUCGGUAAUGACGUUGGGAAAGCGAGCGGCGGAUGGGUGAGUAACACGUGGGGAACCUGCCCCUAAGUCUGGGAUACCAUUUGGAAACAGGUGCUAAUACCGGAUAAGAAAGCAGAUCGCAUGAUCAGCUUUUAAAAGGCGGCGUAAGCUGUCGCUAAGGGAUGGCCCCGCGGUGCAUUAGCUAGUUGGUAAGGUAACGGCUUACCAAGGCAACGAUGCAUAGCCGAGUUGAGAGACUGAUCGGCCACAUUGGGACUGAGACACGGCCCAAACUCCUACGGGAGGCAGCAGUAGGGAAUCUUCCACAAUGGACGCAAGUCUGAUGGAGCAACGCCGCGUGAGUGAAGAAGGUUUUCGGAUCGUAAAGCUCUGUUGUUGGUGAAGAAGGAUAGAGGUAGUAACUGGCCUUUAUUUGACGGUAAUCAACCAGAAAGUCACGGCUAACUACGUG